GGUCAUGGGUCAUGGGUCACAAGUCGCUGGUGAAAGAUUGUACAUUUAUCUCGGAACAUCUCGGUGAAAAUGUAUAACCAGAUAUAAAGUCUGUAUAAUUAAUAAACGCUGUAUAUGUAUAGGAGGGUUGCAUUUGAUGUCACACUGUACCAUUCACACCAAGAAAGAGGCAUCAUCUGCCACACCAGUGCAGUGUUUCCCGCCUGGUCUGUGAUCCUCGUGUGUGCUGUCCGCGCUCUUUUGCCGCGUUCAUCUUGGUAAGGUGUACUGUUCUGAGCUGCAACAACAGAGUUCAUGACGGAGAUAUAGGAUCCUGUAGGGUUCCCAAAAUUAAAACCCAAAGAGGGGAGGUGACAUUUUAUCUAGCAGGUGAGCCCACAGUGGCUACACAGCAUCUCUGAUGAAGACGUCAAUGAGAAGAACCUUAACAGAGCUGGUGCUUGUGGAGAUCCCUAUGUAAAUGGUAAACCAGCUACUAUGGCAGAGGCAACAUAGACUGGGCCUCAACAGUGAAUAUGGGAUGCAGCAGUGUGACGAGAGGAGCCUGGGCGCCAAGAGAGGAACGCAAAAAAAAAAAUGACUCACAGUCCCUUCAGCCAAAUGAAAGCCACAAUACCGCAUUUGCAAUUUACCUUUAAAU